ACGCUGGCGGCAGGCCUAACACAUGCAAGUCGAGCGGUAACAGAUCUAGCUUGCUACAUGCUGACGAGCGGCGGACGGGUGAGUAAUGCAUAGGAAUCUGCCCGAUAGUGGGGGAUAACCUGGGGAAACCCAGGCUAAUACCGCAUACGUCCUACGGGAGAAAGGGGGCUUCGGCUCCCGCUAUUGGAUGAGCCUAUGUCGGAUUAGCUAGUUGGUAAGGUAAUGGCUUACCAAGGCAACGAUCCGUAGCUGGUCUGAGAGGAUGAUCAGCCACAUCGGGACUGAGACACUGCCCGAACUCCUACGGGAGGCAGCAGUGGGGAAUAUUGGACAAUGGGGGCAACCCUGAUCCAGCCAUGCCGCGUGUGUGAAGAAGGCCCUCGGGUUGUAAAGCACUUUCAGCGAGGAAGAACGCCUGUCGGUUAAUACCCGGUAGGAAAGACAUCACUCGCAGAAGAAGCACCGGCUAACUCCGUGCCAGCAGCCGCGGUAAUACGGAGGGUGCAAGCGUUAAUCGGAAUUACUGGGCGUAAAGCGCGCGUAGGUGGCUUGAUAAGCCGGUUGUGAAAGCCCCGGGCUCAACCUGGGAAGGGCAUCCGGAACUGUCAGGCUAGAGUGCAGGAGAGGAAGGUAGAAUUCCCGGUGUAGCGGUGAAAUGCGUAGAGAUCGGGAGGAAUACCAGUGGCGAAGGCGGCCUUCUGGACUGACACUGACACUGAGGUGCGAAAGCGUGGGUAGCAAACAGGAUUAGAUACCCUGGUAGUCCACGCCGUAAACGAUGUCGACCAGCCGUUGGGUGCCUAGAGCACUUUGUGGCGAAGUUAACGCGAUAAGUCGACCGCCUGGGGAGUACGGCCGCAAGGU
rnacentral:rRNA from 1 species